rnacentral:lncRNA from 1 species
UUUCUUGCAGAAAAACAAACAAUUCCAAUGGAACAACCAUUCAAAACAUAAUAACUCAGCCCUUUAACCUCCUACCACAGUCUAAUGCCUGGCAUUACGAGUUGGGGUAAAGAAGAAGGCAGGAACAAUGAUUGUGGAGAGCUCUAUCUGCCUCAGAAAUAAUGCCAGUCGGCAAAGGCUGCCGGCAGGUUUUGUGCUCAUUUCAAAACUUCACAUUCCUCAGGCACUUAGUGGCAUUUUUGAAGAACACUGUGUCAAGGACAGUGGGUGACCCAGGAGAGUGAUGUGAGCGAGGUCAUUCUGAAUACACAGCACUUGACGUGGUAGAGUCUACAGCCACAGCUUGGAAAAACAGCUCUUGGCAGUUGUGUCUCUCUUAGCCAGCAAGCGUGGGGACCUGUGCCACGGAGACACCCAACAGGAAUCAUCAUUCCAGGUUUUGUCACUGAUGGGCAAUAUGGAGAGAAUGUAAAAAUAUCUAACUUCAAACAGAAAAAAGAAACAACUGGAAUGAAAAGCUAUAAACAAUAGAAUAUUACCAUCAGAAUCCAAGACCUCCGAACUUCCCUGCUGAAGGCACGUUUACGUCUUUGGACUCUGGUGUACCAGGGCCUGAACAAGCUAUAACACCAUGGUAUUACCAAAUACAUCCUAAGUCAUCAAAACAGCUUUUUAGGCUAAUUCUUUCAGAAGAUUGACGUAGAGGAUUUACCUACAGAACUUCAGGAGAUUCCUAAGAAGGCCUUCAGUGAUCUUUUCAUCAAUAUCAUCAGGCCUUAUCAUUGUUUCACAUUUGCUUCUCUUUACCAUAGGGAAUAUAAUAAUUAUUUACUGGUUAACUUCCUAGGGAGAUUGCCUGCGGCUUAUUUAAGAUCCAAAUUUUAAAGUAAUAAUUUCUGUUGAAGCUGCUUGUGAGGUGGUUGGGUGGGCAGAUAGAGUGAAGCCAGGGACACACACUAAAUGAGCCCGGGAUGUAGGCAGGUUUUGAUGUUUUGCUUGCUUUUAUCCCUAACAUUUUAUCCCUUCACGUUUACUGUCUCACUGAACAUUUUGUCUACUCUUCUAGUUAUGCAGUGAGCAGGUCUCCUCCAGGAAGAAGCCUCUUUUUAUGAGGAUUGGGGUGGUGACAGACAAUAAUCAAAUGGUCUGAUUUCUCUGCUAUCCUUUCCUUUCCCCUAAAUGUUCUCAGGGGAUCUGCUUGAACUUUUUUCAAGAGCUCUGUAUUUGGAUUUUUAGUAGCCUAUAGAUUAUCACUCAAUAAAACAAAUUAAUUGUUUUUAAGUGAAUUGCCAAAAGUCAUUUUAAAAAGGAAACUCUAUGGUUAUUAUGGUUUCUGCUAGAAAGAAUUCUGACAGCUCAUAAAAGCAAUAUGUAUAAUUUUUCAUUUUUUAGAAGAAAAUAAAUACUUUCAUGUAAUGGCUUGAGACUCUGAAUUGCUCCAAUUCCUGAAGAUUAUUUAUUAAUCAUUUAGUCUUUUAAUAUAUUUGAGUGUGGGUUCCCUGGCAGAGGAGGGAGUUCAGAAGAGACCCUGAUUUCCCCCCCAAAA